GACGAACGCUGGCGGCGUGCCUAAUACAUGCAAGUAGAACGCUGAAGGAGGAGCUUGCUUCUCUGGAUGAGUUGCGAACGGGUGAGUAACGCGUAGGUAACCUGCCCGUUAGCGGGGGAUAACUAUUGGAAACGAUAGCUAAUACCGCAUAAGAGAUGAUGUAGCAUGAGAUUUGCUUAAAAGGUGCAAUUGUAUCACUACUAGAUGGACCUGCGUUGGAUUAGUUAGUUGGUGAGGUAAAGGCUCACCAAGGCAACGAAACAUAGUCGACCUGGGAGGGGGGUCGGCCCCCCUGGGACCGGGACACGGCCCAGGCCCCUUCGGGGAGGAGCAAUAGGGGAACUUCGGGCAAGGGGGGAAGUCUGGCCGGAGAACGCCGCCUGAGUGGAGAAGGGUCUCGGAUCGGAAAGCUCCGUUGUAAGGGGAGAACGAGUGUGGGAGUGGAAAGUGCACGCUGUGACGGUAACUAACCAGAAAGGGACGGCUAACUACGUG
rnacentral:rRNA from 1 species